CCCCGGCCGCGCGCCCCCGUUACCGGGAAUAUGGCGGCGGCCGCGGAGAGUCCCGACUAGGCCCGAAGCGCGCGAACCGCUCUCCGCCCCAGGUCCCGCCCCCCCUACCGGCGGCGUCACACGCACCACUACUUCCGCCAUACGCUGGGACGCGCCUUCCGGCUUGGGGUCCACCUCCACGGGUGAAGUCCUUAGAUCGGCCGCCCGGAGUUCCCGGAAGAGGGUCGGUUGCUAGCUUCCUGUACUAUAGGGAGAAAUGGCGGUGGUCACCUUGAUCCCGACGCUGGCGCGGGUAUUGUCAAAGCACAGUCUGCUGUCUCCUUUGCUUAGUGUGACAUCGUUCAGACGCUUCUACAGAGGUGACAGCCCAACAGAUUCUCAAAAAGACAUGAUUGAAAUCCCUUUGCCUCCGUGGCAGGAGAGAACUGAUGAAUCCAUAGAAACCAAAAGAGCCCGCUUACUGUAUGAGAGCAGAAAGAGGGGGAUGCUGGAGAACUGCAUUCUCCUGAGCCUCUUUGCUAAAGAAUAUCUGCACAACAUGACAGAGAAGCAGCUGAACCUCUACGAUCGUCUGAUUAAUGAGCCUAGCAAUGACUGGGAUAUUUACUACUGGGCCACAGAAGCAAAACCAGCUCCAGAAAUAUUUGAAAAUGAAGUCAUGGAACUACUGAGAGAAUUCACCAAAAACAAAAACAAAGAGCAGAGACUGCGUGCCCCAGAUCUGGAAUAUCUCUUUGAAAAGCCUCGUUAAGCCGGGUGCCACUGCCUGUUGUGGUGGUCAUUAUAUGGAUAGAAACUGCUUCUGGUUGAGACUACAUGUGUGUGUGCUACUAAGCCGGUGUGAUGAUUCAGCGGAUAAGGUGCUUUCCACCAAGCCUUAGAACCUGAGGUCAAUCCCUGGGAACCACAUGGUAGAAAGAGAGAACUGACUCCUCCAAGUUGUCCUCUGACCUCAAUAUGCAUACUAUAGCUCUCACAAAAUACAAGGGUGCUACAUACCCAGCUUGUUAGUAUUUAAUAAAGAUACUCACCUAUGGGGUUGCAGAGAUGGCCCAGUACCUACUGCUCUUGUGGUUUCCAGCACCGAUGUGCAGAUCACACACACACACACACACACACACACACCACAGAGACCCAUAAUUAAAUGUCAUAAAAAUGUGGGUCAAGAAGGAUGGCUCGGGUUAAGAGCGAUUGUAGAGGUCCUAAGUUCAGCUUGCAGUUGUCACCAGGCCGUUCAUAACCACCUGUAACUAGCUCCAGGGCAUCUGACUUCCUCAUCUGAUGUUAGUCCCUACACAAGUGUGCAUGCAAACACACACAUCAAAGUUGUUUUUAAACUAAAAGAGGUGCCUAUUGCAGUGCCCUGGAACACACGGGAAAGAACAAAGCUGCUAAGAGCAGAUAUUGGCAGAGGGGGGACAAGGCUAUGGCUCUGUGGUUGAGCACUCACCUAGUGUGCAUGAAAUCUUGGGUUCAAUCUCUAGCCCUGCAACAAAUCUAUAAAGCCGAGGGCAGUUCUCUGGGAGCUCAUGCUCGGAGUCCUAGAACUGCCAGUGAUCAGCCGGUUGACCCUGGCCACAUUUCUUCUCCAGCUUCUCUCCUGUGGAGGUGAACCUUGUGCAGGGAUAAGGACUAAAGGAAGGAAUGCAUGGAAAGUGCUGGCGGUGGUACUUGGCAUCCUAGUGACACAGUGGUAGCCAUAGUGAAUUAUUAAAUCUGACCAUAUGCCAGACCGCUAAGGGUUUUAUGCGGAUCUUAGCGUUUAAUCCUUGUUUACCGGUUCCCCCUAUUGGUAGGAAAUAAGGGUUGGUUGGAUGGGUUGCGUGCUCAGAGUCACAGGAAGUGCAGGGACUAGGGUCUGAAAGGAAGCAAUAGCCCCAGAGCUACCAAGUGCCACACUGCCCCUCGCCAGCGCUUGCGGAGUCUGUAGGAAGGCUACUGAUCCUGAUGACUCAGCUGUAGCUACCUCCGGGGCUCCCUGUAGAACUAAAUGUUAGUCACUUCUUGUAAAGUAAUGCCUGGCACUAUUAAAAGGAGGCAAGAUU